CAGUCGCCACGGUAAUACAGAGGGUGCAAGCGUUAAUCGGAAUUACUGGGCGUAAAGCGCGCGUAGGUGGUUCGCCAAGUUGGAUGUGAAAUCCCCGGGCUCAACCUGGGAACUGCAUCCAAAACUGGCGAGCUAGAGUAUGGUAGAGGGUGGUGGAAUUUCCUGUGUAGCGGUGAAAUGCGUAGAUAUAGGAAGGAACAUCAGUGGCGAAGGCGACCACCUGGACUGAUACUGACACUGAGGUGCGAAAGCGUGGGGAGCAAACAGGAUUAGAUACCCGAGUAGUCCCUGUCUCUUAUAA
rnacentral:rRNA from 1 species